rnacentral:misc_RNA from 1 species
CCGAAUGGUCAUGAGGCCUUCAACCUUCAAACCUGUGGAAGCAAAAAUGUGCUUCGGCGCUCUGGCGCCGCAUUUAUGCAGAAUAGUUUGUGUCUGAAUCAAUAAAAAUUUUA